CCUACGGGAGACUGCAGUAGGGAAUCUUUCACAAUGGGCGAAAGCCUGAUGGAGCAACGCCGCGUGCAGGAUGAAGGCCUUCGGGUUGUAAACUGCUUUUAUAAGCGAGAAAUAUGAUGGUAACUUAUGAAUAAGGAUCGGCUAACUACGUGCCAGCAGCCGCGGUCAUACGUAGGAUCCGAGCAUUAUCCGGAGUGACUGGGUGUAAAGAGGUGCGUAGGUGGCAUAAUAAGUAGCUAGUGAAAUCUGGUGGCUCAACCAUUCAGACUAUUAGCUAAACUGUUAAGCUCGAGACCGUUAGGGGUAACUGGAAUUUCUAGUGUAGGAGUGAAAUCCGUAGAUAUUAGAAGGAACACCAAUAGCGUAGGCAGGUUACUGGGACGGUUCUGACACUAAGGCACGAAAGCGUAGGGAGCAAACGGGAUUAGAUACCCCAGUAGUC
rnacentral:rRNA from 1 species